UUUGAUUGCAACAAAUUUGUUUCUAUGGCGAUUUGAUCAUCUUUUCUAUCUUGUUUACCCUACCCUUGUCAUGAAAAACGGAUUUGUAUCGAUAUUAAUGGCUAUAUCUGGUCCCAUCUUCGCAUUAAACUCACCAUUUGUCCACUGUUUUGCUUGCAUCACCACGCCCUUAUCGGCUUCGGCAACCGACCUUUCUGAUUAGAUGUACUACUAGGCGGCCUUUGAUAGUAAUAAGCUGGCGGAACAGGUUGAGGAGGAAGCACAGAAGAACUCUGAUAAACGCCCUUGAUCGUAAGAAUCCUUAACAAUAUUUCCAUACUCGUACGGAACAACCGGCCCGACAACUUACCAGGCUUGCUGAUAAGAAAAAAAUGAGAUUGUUAAUAAAUUGAUUGCCGCGCAUAGUUUUUUAAAGACUACAAUAAUAACAAACACUACAUAGUGGAAUUCUUUGCGUCCUUGGAUCGUCCUUGCAUUGGAAUUUCGGUAUCUCUGGUGACUUGUUUAUUCCUCGGUGUUGGCCGGUUUUUGCUAGAAGCAAUACUUGUUGCUCUUUGAGGUAACGAAUUUGAAUGUACAAUUGUUGACUGUCAAUUAUUCAAAAAUCAACACUACGAUGGAAUUAUCCUUUAAGUAGCACGGAAGCAAAUUCAACAUGGAGUAGGUAGGGAGUUUUAAUCUACCACUUGUGAAAUGUGAUUUCCUGACACUAUCUACAUUGAAAGGGAAACUAAAUAGCUGCGAUACAAGUUACCAUCCCUUUGACACUUUUCGAAGUCGGCAGUAUGAAUAAUAUGCAUAUUUUAUUACAGAACACUCAAUCUCAUAAUUGCAAACUUGACAUGAGCAUAAUGUAAUAAGAAAGAUUUUUUUGUCAACAGAAAAAAUAUUAUUGAAAUGCAACAAAGGCCAAUUGAAAAAGAAAUCCUACGAUACACGGCACGACACUUAUGAAUUAGAAUUACCUUGAAGAGAAAACAUGUUUUCGGUCAAGUGGUAUAACGGACCAUUUUUACCAUUUUCCUCUAGUGAGCAACUGCUUUCUGAAUUGAUCCACGGCACUGUAAAGAAAUGGACCAGAAAAGAUUAAGUACUAAUGAUAGCGUUGAAAAUCUUUAAAAAUUGACAAUGUUGUAUAAAAAGUCGAAAUGCCAUUAAAUAAUCAAAACUGGAUAGAGAAAAUUAGUCUUUCUGUUCCAUUGAUGUAGUCUUUCAAAAGUUGAGGAUGAUACUCUAGAAUCUCGCGGAAAAUUAGCUCUCGAAUUUCUUCCUUUGUGACUCUUCGUCUUUCAAUUCAAACUCCAUUUUGGUGAUAGGCUGGCAGGACGGUUCCCUCUCAAACUUUGCAAGUCCCUUGAAGUAAGGAUCGGCAAGUGCUGAAAUCAACAAAUCAACACACAAUUUAAAAAUCUCUACGACUAUAAUUAUAAUAAACAUUUUAUGAUAAGUCUUAUACAAGCGCUUAUUUAAGAAGUGAUCAUCUCUCUUCUUUUUUNGAUCUUGACCAAGCAUUUACUCCUACCGUUAAUUCCUAAGCAUGGUCUGGCCUAUUUAAAGGAUGUAUCAGCACUCCUCUUCUCACAAGAGCGACAUUUCAUUCCCUCUAAACCAUGGGGUUUGUUAAGAUCUGGGCAUACUGCUCCUGGAUUUGGUUUUGUGAAGGUGUCAUUUAUAAAUGUUUAGCUAAAAAGGGGGAGAGAAACAUUAUCCUGAGGAUGCACUAGAAGCAAGCAAUAUCUGGUAGCAAGGAGAAGAUGGGUUCAGAUAUAAAAGUCACUAACUGGGUAUAUCAGUUAUGUCUUGUGAUCUGAGUUAAGAAGACAGUUGUGUCUUGUGAUCUGAGUUACAUAUUCUUCAGAAAGCCCUACUGUUGAGGGGAAGGGUUGUGAUGGAGCUGAGCCUUGUACAUCUUCUUCCUCAUGUACACCAACAGUGGUGGUGGUAAUAGGGCUGUCAUUGACAAAGAGGAAGUACAGACCCAUAUUGGGUUAUUUGUUUUAGCUAAAAUUUGCCAAAGGGGGAGAUUGUUAGUACCUUAAGAUUGGCAUUAAUUUUGUAAUACAAAUAAUGUAAUCACCUUUGUUGUUUUAAUAUGUUGGGUGAAGAAGUUCAACAUCUGGACCAACAUGUCAUGUAAGAUGUCACGACAUCGGGACUGUGAUAUCUCACAUGUGUAUAAAACUGAAUCAGUUAAUUCUGGUUUGUGUUAAAUGAUUAAUUAGGAUAUCUGGUGAAUAUCCUAACUCCUAUGUGGAGAUCUUGAAGAUUCAAUCAGAAGAUUUGGUUGAAUAUACAGUUUCCAAAUAUGGAGUCUUUAGGAAAUAAAGAUUGAAGACCUUGAUUGUAGCAGAAGAAUUCUUGCCAGCUCUGUAACAGCAAAGGAGAAAGCUUGCUGCGAUUUCUGAAGGCCCAAAUCCAGUUGUGUGUUAGGUUAUAAAUAGCAGAUUGUAACCUAGGUUUUUGUAAGUCCUCAAAUAAUGUAAAAAUUAAGGUGUUGUGUGAGGUAAACCUUCCCAACCUGUGGAAGUUACCAGGUGUUUUUUAGUGCUUGAAGCAUGAGAUUAUUUGUAACUCAAAGCCUGUAGCAAGAUUGUUAUGUUCUUGAACGAAGCUGUGAAGCAUGUUCAAGUUGUUUAAAACAUUACAUUUGUAAUUGUAGUGAUAGGAAUGGAAACUGGAGGUUUCUAUCUAGGAGUGCAUAGGUAUAGAUUGCAUUGGAUAGGGAUUAAGUGAAGAGUUGUAAACGGGGGAGUUUAACUCUGAAUAAUACUGCUAAUAGUGGAUCUUCUUCCUGGCUUGGUAUGCCCCAGAGUAGGUAAUGUUGUACCGAACUGGGUUAACAAUUACUGGUGUUUUUACCUUCUGCACACUAUUCUGUCUGUUAUAACUCAGUCUGGUUUUAGUCUGUUUAUGAAGGGAAUAACAGACCUAACCACUAGCCUGCAAGUCGGAAUUGCAAAACAGAAUGUUAUGACAUUCAUCAUUGACUGCUAAUACUGAUGUAUAGACUGGUUGGUCUGUUACAGUUCAACCAUCUGUAAUGUUGGAACAGGUGAUGUUCAAAUCAAUGUUGAGACAUCAUGUUGUUAACUGAGCAGGAUCAAUAAACAUAAGUGUUAUGUUUGAUAUCUACUGUGUCUUUGUACUAGAUGGACAAAACUGGAUGUUCUUCUGUCCAUGGUGGUAUAGUAGCAGAUGUCAUGACAUCUGUGAUUGUGUGCAUAUGAGUACUGGGUUUAAAUUUUUAUAACUGUCUUGUUGUAUUAGUAACAAUGUUGGAUCAGAUGUCAUGACUUCGUGUAGAACAUCUGAACUCUGACUAUACCAGAAUUUCAAAGCUCUUGAAGUUUUUCAUAUCAGAACUUAAGUGACCAGUUUCUGAAGAAAUUGUCUACUUUUUAAGUUUGAAGCUUUAACUUUGUUGUUUGAGAAAUAUUUCAAUCAGGAAUCAUAACCAAACAUCAAGUUCUGAGGAAUUGUGAAUUCCAUGUUAAUCAUAAUUAAUUCUACCAGGUCCUAAGGUUUAUAACAAGGCUCUGAAGCUCUUUAAGAAGAAUUUGUAACCAGGAUCUGAAAUUCUUUUAAAGAGAUUCAGGAUCUGAAGCUUCUUCAAAAGAGUUCAACCAAGCUUCUAAAGUGAAGUUCAUCAGAACGUUGAUUUUGACAACCAGUGUUCUGGAUAAGUUCAAGCAACUUCUGAAGACAAACCAGAUUCCGAUGGAAGAUCAUUCUGUUACUUCAAAAAGGUUAAUUAGAAAAUUGCUAUUUCAUUCUAAUUUUAUCUUUUUAGGAUUAUACAUCUCAUGGGGUGAUUUGUGCUUUUGUAAGAUGUAUCUUUCUAUGAUUACCCUGUACAAAACUAUUCGUCAAAAAUACAUGUUUUUGUCAUCAUCAAAAAGGGGGAGAUUGUUAGAACAAGAUUUGGUUAUGCAUUUAUACGUUGAGUUUUGAUGAUAACAAUGUUGUAUUUGUGUGAGAACAAUUUUGGUACCGGAAUGGUCUGUUAUCGUGUAGCUUUAACAGUCAGCUCUGAUUCUAAGUAUAUGACGUGCAACACCAUCAGUUUCUGAACAUUUGUUCUGAAAUCCACUUCUGUGCUAAUCAUGAGAAGUUCUUAAAGAUGUCAGGUUGCUGCUGCAAUGCUCUUUCUUCUUAUGUACUAAUUCACUCCUGAGAAGUUCCAGAAAUACGUUGUGUUUGCAAUGUUCUCUAUGCUUCUGUUUCUGGAUGUGACUCUGAUUUCUAAGCUUCUAAAUAAUGGAAAGCUUCUGAAGUUUUGUUACUUAGAUGAAGAUUCUGAAGAUCUCAAGCCAGACGUUGAGGUUAUCAAGGUUUUGACUGAAGAUUUUGAAGUUUUUAAUUCCAGCUGUGUGUUUAUUAUUUUUUCAUGCUUCAUCAAUUAUUUCUUAGAAGCCAAUAAAUUUGAAGAUAAGAUCAAGUAGAUACGUGAUCAAAUAGUACAUAGUACAAAUCAAAUAUUCUUUCCACUCCAUAAUUCGUGGGCGAAGGACAAUACUAUACAUCACACUUGUCACUGAAAUUAUGGGUGAAGGAUUGUACGAUGUACCACUCAUAUCACCAAUCCAACAGUGAACAACCGCUCUAUUGGUAUCCCCAUUUUCCCCUCCAACGGUCUCUUUUCUUAUGCUAUAUAAGUAGGACUUGGAGACUUGAAAAAAAUGUUGAAGCGCUAUAACAAUUUGACAAGUUUGUUUCUUCGUGAAAAGCUAUCAAUUUCGUACAUAGUUUUUCUUUAAGUGUUUGUAUUUCAUUUAUGUAAAAUUUGCUUGUGUAGAAGAAACUUGUAACACACAAAAUCUUAUUCAAACUGUUUGUUUGUAUUUCCUUAAGUAGACUAAGUUUUAGUCGGAUCCUUGAUAAGACAAAGAAAGUUGUUCUUUGUAAUUUUCCUUAAGGAGACUAGGGUAUAGUCAAAUCCUUGAGAAGACAAAGAAGGUUAUUCUUUGUGAAUUUUGUAAUCAGUUGAUUAUAGUGGAUUAAGUCCUUGUGUAUAAGGCGAAAUCACAUUGGUGGGUGGACUGGAGUAGUUUUGAGUUUCAAACGAACAAGGAUAAAAAUACUUGUGUUUUUAUCUCUUUGUUCUUAAUAUUGUGUGGUGUUUUUGAGUUGAUAAAAAUACUUGUAUUUUUAUCUCUUUCGUCUCAGUGCACCCUUUUUCUCAAGUACAUUGAGACUCUGAAUCAGUGUUGUUAUGACAAAAAUUUAUGGGUUACCCCUAUAUUAGUUCCCUUGAGGACUGUUUGAAGGUUAUUAACAGCAGUCACUCUCUGCAGUGUAAAGUGAUAAUUCUUGCAGUGGUGGCCAACACAAUUGCUUGCAUUUGGAACUCUAGAAAUAAAGCUCGUUUUUAAAGCAUCAUCUCUCACUUGAAAUCUUGUUGUGCCUCCACAAUUUCUCUCACGGCAUUGACAGGUAAUAUCACAAUUAAGUGCACCAACAAUGAUAUUCAGGAUUUUGUUAUUUUAAAAAACUUUUUUGUCACUGUUCAUCCUCCCAAAGUCAAGAUUUGUAAAGAAGUUUUGUGGUGUUCCCCUUCCUUAUUUUGGAUUAAGGUUAACAUUGACGGUGCUUCAGUUGGAACUCCCAGCUCCUUCGAUUGUUGCAUGCGGCAUCAUUUUCAGGAACCAUAAUGGCGACAAUUCGUCAUGAAAAUGUUUUAUUUGAUGAGCUCAUGGGAGCUAUUUUGGCUAUGGAGCAUGCCUUAAAUCAAAAUUGGUACCGGUUGUCGUUGGAUUCGGACUCCAGUUAGUGGUGCUUGCUUUCAGUAUUGCUUUAGUUGUGCCUUGAGAGAUUAGAAAUAAAUGGAAUAAGAUAAUUUAGGUCGUUUCUAACUUUCGUAUUUGUUAGGUUUGAGGAACAGGUUACAUCUUUCUAGCUUUCGUAUUCGUUACUUUAGUCCCCUCUUUCCAAUAGCCCUUUUAUAAUUAUAAAAGAAAAUUCAUUUUGAAUGUUUUAUUAUUAUUUGAAGACUUCGAUUUUUUAAAGUUAAAUAGCCUAUUUUUUCAACUAAAUACCUCAAAUAAUCCACUUUCAAACAAAAAAAAAUCUCAAAACAAAUGAGUCGUCAAUCCAAUUGACGUUUGUGUACAACACAUAAGAGGAGACGUCAAUCCAAUUGACAACAGUAUACAAAUAUAUAGAAGAGAGAGUAUAUUCUCUCUCCUACGUAUUUGUACACUAUCGUCAAUUGGAUUGACGUCUCCUUUAUGUAUUGUACAAAGGCGUCAAUUAGAUUGGUAUCUCCUUUGUUUUGAUUUUUUUUAAUAUCAAAUUAUUGUCAUUGAUUAUUUGUCUUUUCUACUAUUAUUAAUAUAAAGUGAAAAUAAUAAAUAUAACAUUUAUUAAAAAUAUAUAUAUAUGUUGAGUGAUAUUUUAUUAAUAAUAUAAGCUUCUUGAUAUGUCAUUUAUAAAAACAAUUUUAGUUUAGUUUAGUUUUGUUAAACAAAUCAUGCACUAAAAUGUAAAUUAUUUUUACACUAUUAAUCACAAUCAUGUAUUCCAUCCAAUCAGCUAUUAAAAUUUUAAUUAUUUAUAUAAUUUAACACUGUAAUGUAAUAUUUUUUUAAGACACUACCAUUAAACUCAAUCAUUUAUAUAAAUUUAUUCAUAAACAUUUAUUCUAACAAACAUUUAGCCUAUAAGUUCAAUUAUCCUAUAAGUUCAAGUUUCAACUAAACCGUAUAUCCAAACCAGUCCCUAGUCAAUACUUGACCCAAUAGAUCUGAAUUCAAUUGCCAUCUCUAAACUCAAACACUAAAAAGAUGGUUAUGUAUUAACAUACACAAUUUCAAUGUUACAGUUUCUUAAUACUUGUUAACCAAAGUUCAUAGCUUUUUGACCAAAGAAACCUAACCCUUUCGAAGGAAGUAUAGCCACAAUGAUCCUCAUCACACUCCCUCACAUUUUGUACAAACAAUGACACCACAUAGAUCCUUCCCUACCAAGAGCCUUUUUCUUUUGCAAUGCUCCCCCUCAGACAAUAUAUUCACAAGAAAACCUUCUCCUAGAAGGGUCCAUAUUCCCUACGCUGCGCACUUCUCAAUCGAUAUCGAGAAGUGACAGAAAUUGCAGGGAAUCUAUUUCCUUCCUAGAACAUUCUUGUCAUACCAUAUUGAACAGUUCCAACUUUUCUAUGAGCGGUGGCCCCAGCUGCUGCACCAACUCCACCAUAUUGCGCCGCCUUUGAUUGCAACAAAUUUGUUUCUAUGGCGAUUUGAUCAUCUUUUUCUAUCUUGUUUACUCCUACCCUUGUCAUGAAAAACGGAUUUGUAUCGAUAUUAAUGGCUAUAUCUGGUCCCAUCUUCGCAUUAACUCCACAUUGUUGUCCAUGUUUUGCUUGCAUCACCACGCCCUUAUCGGCUUCGGCAACCGACCUUUCUUGAUUAGAUGUACUACUAGGCGGCCUUUGAUAGUAAUAAGCUGGCGGAACAGGUUGAGGAGGAAGCACAGAAGAACCUCUGAUAAACGCCCUUGGAUCGUAAGAAUCCUUAACAAUAUUUCCAUACUCGUACGGAACAACCGGCCCGACAACUUUACC
rnacentral:lncRNA from 1 species